CAGCGCGCGCCGCCCGCGCCCGCCGCCGCGUCGCGCGCGGCCUCCGCCGAGCCGCGCCGCCGCCUCGCACGCCUGCUCGUCCUGUUCGUCCUGCUCCACUUCUUCGAGGAGCUCCUGCAACAACAUUACAAUGAGGAAUGUUGCCGUUUUCCCAUAUGUGAUGAUGUAAGUACGAUACGCAGCCUACGCACCACGCAUCGUACGGCGUCAACCGUAGUCCAAAUCCGAACAGAUACAAAAAUCUAUCUCACUAUUAUUGUUUUCUUAUUUUUCACAUUGUUUAUCAAUAUUUCAUUCAAAGUUUGCAUCUCUUAUUAUGACUUGACCGCUUGGUAAUCUGUCUUCAUCUUAUCACACUCCUAAUAGUCAUUUAGCUCAACAAUUAACAACUGGCGCCUGGUGAAGAAAAAGUCUUAGCUCGUUAGAAAGAUAGGUACGGUUAUUAUGAUAAAAUAACGAUUUGUAUGCGUGACUAAACCUAUGGAAACAUUACCAAGGAAAAAGGCUUAUCUAAGUUACAGCCGAUUAUUAACUGUCAUCGGGUAUUCAUUUGUUUUCCUCUAAUAGCGUGGAUAUUAUGAAUUACUGUAUUAAUUAAAUGAUUCAUAACCAA